GUAUGUUAGAGUGAAAAAUAUAGAAAAUAAAAAAUGGGAGGAGAGAACGUUAGGGAGGCAGAAAGAGAGAGUCUCUAAGGAGAGAAAGGAGCAUAGAGUGCAUUUAACUUUUUGACUCCGGUAGUCAGUCUGUGCAUGUCAGUAACAGUUAGUCUGUAGACAAACAUUCUCUGUUCCGACACACACAUGCACGCUCAAAUAUGCAUGCACGCAGAGCCAUAUGCAAACAUAGCUGCUCAGUGACAUUGUGCAUAAGCCCACCUGCGUCCUCUGCAGACACAUGCAUGCUCAAUUUUAGCAAUGAAAGUGCAAACAAACCCCAAGUUCAACGUGCGGCUGUAGCCCUGCCUCCGAACAUCAGCCUCCCCCCACCCUCUCUACCAGUUACCCCGGGAUACCACACAAACACUCCCUGUUGGGCAACACUGGGAGUUAAGAGAGGACGCACAUGGGUCGCACACCUCCCCAAAGCCCCGUGAGUUGGAGACCAAUUGCAUUUGUGGAUAUGUGCAAGUGGGCUCUGCAUAUGUUGGGCAGCCAUAUUCUUUUUCUAUACGGGGCUAUGUUUUUUUCACAAUCCAUUUCCUGGCCGGAUGAUAGAGAUGCAUGAAAGAUUUGCUGUAAUGGUGGCACAGGAGGUGUAACAUUUUCAAGAGCCAGAGAAUCAGAGAGGAUAAGAAGGUAGAUCAGCUCAGGAAGUGUAGAAAAAGUCCUUACAGAGUCGCUGGUGAGAAGAAGUUUUGUUUACUUCAGUAAGUUUCACUUGUUGUGUGAUUUACUCAAAUGUCCCUUAUCCCUGAACUGUGAACUUGGCUUGCCUGUCACAGAGGGGGCGCUGGCUUUAACGAGGCUUAUGUUUUAUGAACCCUGAGGGAUCCUAGCAAGCUGUGUGGAUGCUGCAGCGUGCCACGUGCCUGUCAUCGUUCAGCACUGCUGUUUUUGAACACAUCUCUACUUCGUACUUCUGAGAAAAUGUUCUGUUUUUUUCCUUUAUUCUUUCUGUUGGUAAUUCAGAAGGUUUGUACCGUAAAUCAUUUAGGUUUUCUUUGUCAGAUCCUCAGGUUGUCUUAUCAACACAUUUCCAGAUGGGAGGAAGUCGACUUGGUUUCAGAUUGUCUUUGCGUUUGGCUUUCAGGGAUUCGUUUAGAUUUUACGGAAACUGAAAGACUUUAGCUGAAAGCUGUUUAGUACGUCUACAAAUGAUACAAUCAAUUCUGCUUUGAUGGGGUCAAUCCUAUCUGAAGCUCUGGGUUUAGGAAGCGCAACAGGCUUUUACCCAAAGCCCCAGUGUUUUCAAAGCCAUACCAGCCAGCCGCAGCGCUCCGUUCGCCCUUUGUGCUGAGCACACCAGACAAAACCUUGGAAGGCAUCCACUGCAGAGCACAUUCCCAGAGUACUUCUUUUUUCUUCUUUUUACAAGUGUGGGAUGGGGUCUAACAACAAUUACGGUAAAAUGUGACUAAUAUGUCGCAGACACAGUGGUGUAUGUGUGCGUGUGUGUGCUUUUUCUGACCUGCUCUUUCUCUUUUCCAUCCACUCCUCUCUUCUUGAAAAUUCUUCCCUCUCACUUCAAACCCCUGUAAUUACAAACAAAAGCGCUGACUCCUCUCCAGCUGAAACAAUGAUAAUGAUGGAGAGUCGAACAUAUGUGUGUGUGUGUCUUCAUCAAAGCGGCGCUGACGUUGAUGGGUGUAGAGAAAUGUGUGGAGGACAGUAAGGAUUAACACAAUCUGGGCACACGGCCCCGUCACUGAGAGAAAUAGUGUGUGUGCAUAUGUUGACUCUGGUCUUGAUAGCAACGAUCCAACACACAGCUGCUCUCGGAGCUUGGCAUUUAAAUGAGGCAAGCAGACAGUUGGAAUAAAUGGGACGCAGACUGAGGCGGAGGAAUCGGAAAGGUUUAAAGAAUAGAGAAGCAGGUUGCUCUUAAACAUGAGCGUUAAAGGUUUCAAAAAAAGGGGGAAGAAAACAGUAGAAUCUUUGAAGGCACAGAAAAUAAAAGUCAUAUUUUUUCCUAAUAAAAAUCGAACAUGCUUUAGGUUCAGUAAAACAUUUGUGUUACAGUUUUGUCUGGGCUGCAUAAAUGGAUGGUUGAGAGGUAGAGUGUGUACUCCCUGGUUGUGUUUGGAGCAGGCCCAAGCCAGAGGAGCUCAAAGCGCUGAAUGUCAUCAUCAGAGCUGUCGGAGAGCCAAGCAGUAAUCACACCCAGAUCACCUAAACGCUCACGCCAACUUACAACACCAGUCACUCCAGAGUGGUGUGUGUGUGUGCGUGUGUGUGUGUGUGCAAGAGAGCUCUGGUGGAGUGAAAGAGAGAAGAAAAAAAAGACAAGAAGUACAUGUCCAUGCAGCAAGAAUGCAUUCAAUGUUAGUGUGAAAAAAGCAUGUGCACGGACAAGCUAUGUGGUCAUAGAGCAGGCACGGGGAGGGAGGAACAGCUCGAGAUGUGUGGAGAAGAGGGUGUAUUUUUUCUCUCCUCUUUCUUCCUCCCUCGCUCCAUGUCAGUCUCAUAUCCCACCCCUCUAUUUUCCAUUUUUACAUGGAGCUCCAGAUGUGAAGGGAGUGAAAUAUUAAAUUACCAAAAUGGGCUUGUUUCUGCACUUUGGCUACAUCAAAAACAACCCAGCCUGUGCUCUUUCCUGACCUUACACACACACUCAAGCACAUUCACGCUUUCUGAUAAUAUUUUAAAGUGUGCUUGAUCAUUUGCUAAAGGAAAAUGGACAAAUUAAUCAUUGUUCCCUUGUCAUUACUGACUUUGCUUGGAGUUGCUGCUUUCAGUUGCGCUAUAUUUUUUAUUUUUGAAACUGUUAAGGCAUUCUCAAGGCCCAUUAGAUCCCCAUGAGUUACAGGGCUUUUUGCACAUGCUGUUGCUUAGUCUGCCACUUGGUGGCAGUGUCAGGAAUAUGUGCAGCAAUAUUAAAUGUUUGCUUGGCAUAGUUGGUCGUGUGUUAUUUGUGCAUUUGUUUGUUUGUUUUACUUGCUUUCCCCCCCUGAACAUUCCGAAGUUGUGGUGAAAGAACUGGGUUAUAGGGUGCAACUGGGUGCUAUGGAUAAUGAUCAGCGGUAAGUGAAGCCACUAAAUGUGCUUUUCAAUGCCUUGUUGUGGUUCAUCUUUUCUUUGCUGACUAAUGAAUGUAAGGUCCAAGACAUUGUGUAACCACUGGUCUUUUUUCUGCAAUGUUUACUUCUGAAACUUCUGGAACUCUAUUUUAAUUCCUUAAACUCUUUACAUUCAACAUUAAAACAAUUGUUUUCACGCCACUUGAUUAGCAUUUUAGUCAAGGCUAAUAGUCCAAUAGAAAACGUAACAUUUUAAGCUUGUAGGGAUUUUAAAAAGAAAGUAAACGCCAAAUAAAUUGUGACCUUGCAAUAACAAUUUAAGACCAUACUAAUGAACUUCUCAGUAAAUUGCUCAUUUUGCUCUAAAUGAAACCAAACAAGAUUUUGUCCUUUAUUAAAUGAAAAACAGAACCAAUCUUUUCCACAUUUUCUCACAUCACUCACAAACAUCACUCAAUUUUACUAGAAUUUUAUGUGGCACAAGAAGAAAAACACGGCUUUUUUAUAGUGUUAUUGUCCCUUUUCAGAUAUAAAUUAGAAAAGUGUGGGUUACUAAUGUAUUCAGCCUCUAAGUCAGUAUUGUAUAAAAACUACAUUGUACAGCAAUCACAACUCCAAGCUUUUGGGGCUUUGCCUUUCCUAGCUUCACACAUGGAGACUGAAGCUCAGCCAGGCUGUUUGGAGAGCAUCUGCACAUCUUAUUUGAUGUCUUGCCACAUAUUCACAAACAGAUUACAUGCUGAAUUUUUAUUAGGCCAGGCCUAUGCGGUAAAUGGCAAAUUUACCAGCUUUAUCAAGUUCAGAGGACGCUAAAGUACUUAACACUUGAAUGGGUGAAUAUAAGUCAUUCACCCAUUCACACACACUCUCACACUGAUGGUGGCAAGCUACUGGAUUGUAGCCACAGCUGCCCUGAAACAGUCUGGCGUGAAUACACAUUGAUAUAAACUUUCCCAUUGUAGCCCUGUCUGGAUGUUUUGUGCCAAAAGGCUUUCAUCAAUGGGUCCAUAAGUGUGUCAUCUUGACACACAAAGGUUUAACCUGGGCUCCCUGAUGGUUACCUUCCACCUUAGAAAACAUUGUACAUUGUCUUUAAUGUGUUCAUAGUUUUCUGCCCUAUGUGUCUCUGAGUUUCCCUGUGAUGGAUUGGCAACCUGCCCAGGGUGUAUGUUUCCUCUUGCCCAUUGGAGAUGGGCACUGACAAGACCCUUCAAGGAUUACAGACAGAGAGAGAUGAGGUGGGACAAGGAGGAGCAAAGGACUGUGCGACCUGCGCAGCAGGUGUUGGAAAGCGAGGAGACCGGAGACAAUACGACGGCAGAAGAGAUAUCACACUUGACAGACUUGUAGAAGACAUACAUCAUCUUGCUCCAAACCUUGAAGGACCUAAGCUUCUUUAAGAAGUACAGUCUGCUCUGAUCUUUCUCGUGGACAUCUUUACUGUUC